UCUAGCUUGCUAGAAGAUGACGAGCGGCGGACGGGUGAGUAAUGCUUGGGAACAUGCCUUGAGGUGGGGGACAACCAUUGGAAACGAUGGCUAAUACCGCAUAAUGUCUACGGACCAAAGGGGGCUUCGGCUCUCGCCUUUAGAUUGGCCCAAGUGGGAUUAGCUAGUUGGUGAGGUAAAGGCUCACCAAGGCGACGAUCCCUAGCUGGUUUGAGAGGAUGAUCAGCCACACUGGAACUGAGACACGGUCCAGACUCCUACGGGAGGCAGCAGUGGGGAAUAUUGCACAAUGGGCGCAAGCCUGAUGCAGCCAUGCCGCGUGUGUGAAGAAGGCCUUCGGGUUGUAAAGCACUUUCAGUCAGGAGGAAAGGUUAGUAGUUAAUACCUGCUAGCUGUGACGUUACUGACAGAAGAAGCACCGGCUAACUCCGUGCCAGCAGCCGCGGUAAUACGGAGGGUGCGAGCGUUAAUCGGAAUUACUGGGCGUAAAGCGUACGCAGGCGGUUUGUUAAGCGAGAUGUGAAAGCCCCGGGCUUAACCUGGGAACUGCAUU
rnacentral:rRNA from 1 species